CAAUACAGGUGACCCUCAAAAAAACAUCAUGGUAAAUAAAGCAAGGCAAACACAGAAGACUUCAUACUUUAUGGUUCUAUAAAGAUGAAACCAUAAAUAUAAAUGUCCAGGGACCUAAACUAUAAAGACAGAAUUAGGGCUGGGAAGAAUAGUGAUGGCCUAUUACUGAGGGGUAAGAAGGGGGUUUAACUCUUAACUGUUCUAUGCCUCAAUUUUCUCAUCUGACAGUGAUAAGUGUCUGUUUUAUAAGGCUUCUUUUAAAGAUCAAAUGAGAUAAUACAGAUAAGAGUGAUGUACUCUCUACAGAAAGGACUAGGGCUUUGUAAUUUAGUACAUGUGUGUUACAACACAUUUCUUGCUAGGUUCACUCAGCCUAAAAAUCGGGGAAAUAAAUUUCUUCCCAAGCUAAUACAAAGUUUUUUUAAAAUAAAUAAAACUAGAAUGUUACUGUAAUAUGCAUGUACUAACUUACAAACAGAGGAAUACAUAUGCAUAUAGUUAAAGUUUUUGCAACAAACAAUUUCACCCUAGGCCUGUUUCUUAAUCAACGCAGACAGCUUAAAAUACUUGGGGAAAAAAAUUCAAGAUACACACAUGAAGUGUAAGCCCCAAAGAAAAUAAACUAAGUUAACCUUAUUUCUCUAACAUCUGGAGUCAUAGGGAAAUGAAGA